rnacentral:rRNA from 1 species
GACGAACGCUGGCGGCGUGCUUAACACAUGCAAGUCGAGCGGUAAGGCCCCUCCGGGGGCACACGAGCGGCGAACGGGUGAGUAACACGUGAGCAACCUGCCCCUGACUCCGGGACAAGCGGUGGAAACGCCGUCUAAUACCGGAUACGACCCUCCGACUCAUGCCGCGGGGGUGGAAAGUUCUUUCGGUGGGGGAUGGGUUCGCUGCCUAUCAGCUUGUUGGUGGGGUAAAGGCCUACCAAGGCGAUUACGGGUAGCCGGCCUGAGAGGGCGACCGGCCACACUGGGACUGAGACACGGCCCAGACUCCUGCGGGAGGCAGCAGUGGGGAAUCUUGCGCAAUGGGCGAAAGCCUGACGCAGCGACGCCGCGUGGGGGAUGACGGCCUUCGGGUUGUAAACUCCUUUUACCACUCACGCAGGCCCGGAGUGUUCUUCGGGUUGACGGUAGGUGGGGAAUAAGGACCGGCUAACUACGUGCCAGCCGCCGCGGUAA